UGUCUACACUUAAAAGGCUCCAGUGGUGCCAGUGCAGCUUGGUAAUCCACCUCUCUGAGUGGUGGUAGCUAUGUCAACAGGAGAAGUCCUCCCCUCAAUAUAGCGCUGUCCACACCAGGAGUUAGGGAUGGACAAGUGAGCGUUGUCAAGCUGGCUGACUUCUUGAAAGUGCAUGCUCUAAUGUCAGAGCGAAGAGUGAGGCACUGAGAAGAGAAAAUAUAAAGAGAGCACGUACUGGACGGAUCAAUUGCUGACAGCCCUAAUUUUGUUCCUAAUAAUCUAUCUCACCAGAAGAAAAACUUUUAGUGCACAACCUUGAAUUAUUUUACAUCUAUCAUGUUUUGCAAUCCUGGCACCAUCUCUGAUACAGAUUUUUUUUCAUACUCUCCUUUGUCACCCAGAGUUCAAUGUGUGGCCCCACACCACCAUGCUGUUCUAAUCCUGCUCUGAAGAGUGAAUUAUUAACUUCCUCGUGGGAUUUUCCAUGGUACUUAUCACUAGAAGAGUAUCUGAGUUCUUCACAAAUCAUUUAUUUUCACAGCAUCCAUGGGAGAUGGGGCUAUUCCCAUUUUACAGGUAGUAAAUGGAUGCACAGAGAGAGUAUAAGGUCAGAAUGAUCCACUAAUUUUUAGUGCCCUGGGACCUGAUUUUACAGCAUACUUAGCAUUAUAUAACACUUCAUGUGUUCAAAGCACAGUUCGCAUUGACUUCAACUACAGCUGUGAGUGUUCAGCACUUCUGGAAAUCGGACCCCAGAGUCUUAAAUAAGGCACCCAGAAAAUGAGGAGCACAUAUUUGUGACUACCUGUGAAAGUUUAAGUGGUUUGCUAGCAGUACGCAGGAACUCUGUGGCAAAGGCAGGAAAUUCAGUUCUCCAGAGCAGAAUUAAACUGCCUUAACCAUGCAACUAGAUAUCAGCAAAUUAAUUGAUAAUUUUCUUCUAAUUUUGUUUUAACUGAAAAAUUUUGAUUUGUACCCAGUCUAGUGAUUUUUUUUUUCCUCCUCACCAAAACAAAACAAAAAAGUGUGCAGGUCAAUUCUAAUUGACAUUUUCUAAACCUUUGGGUCUGUCACAGGUGCUGGGUCUGUCACAGGUGCUUGGCCCUGAUCCCUCUAAAAGGGACCAAGUGCCUUAUGACCAGCAGCCUGCUUAUGAGGAGGUUUUUGAGCCUCGUGAAAGACACCUAUAGCUAGUUAGAUCAUGACUAGUUCCACAAGCCCAUUGUCUGAGAGGAAGGCUGCCAGAGCAGGGAGGCAACUGAAAGGGGAUCGUGUGAGCUAGACCUGUCUGGAAAGGAUUUUAGGCAGUGGGUGACCAAAACAGGUUGCAAGAAAGCCAAAGUAGCCCAGUAAAAUAGCUCAGGCUGGAGAGGACUGUGGAGAAUGUGCUUCGGGGUGACAGGAGGAUGGGAAGCAUGUCACCUGAGAAAAGGAAACGGCCAGGAUUGCACUGCAUAUGAGCCUGUUUGUUUUUCCUGUUUUGCAUUAAAGCCUCUCUGUUGGACUGUUUCAGGGCCCAACUGACGCAGGUUACUCAAUAAAGAGAAAUCUGUUUUGGGUAAAUAUUUGA